AGAGUUUCUGAAGAGUAAAAGAAAGAAACCUGUACAUCCACAAAAGAAACUGAUACACAUUGCAGACGUGGGAAGAAAUGGCACUGAAAAUUCAAAAGGCUCAAAAACAUGUUUGCUCGUGUUUUCUGGAAUUUAAUGAAAUUCAACCUAGAGUGCAAAAUAUUUGUCGGGUCAGGUUUGUCUUUAGAGAAAUGCGAAUGAGAUGUGUACAAGGGUGUGUUAAUAAAGAGCACACAAAAUGGUCAGAUUACAGUCAGUCAUGUCCUGCAGACCAUGGACAAGACUAUAAUAGAACAAAGGAUUUCAUGACUACUCAGAAGAUCCUGUGUGCUCUCAUUUAUUAUGUACUGGUAAAGGCGCUCGUGUACAAAGUAAGAUAGCCAUGUAAGAGAGCCAACUUGACAUUUAUGCAGCUGAAUGUUUGCACAUACCAAUAUGCAUGGCCUUUCUACCUUACUGACGUUUGAUUCUUUUAUUCAUCUAUGGUUUAUUCCCUGGAACAUUCUCUACAAAAGCUGUUUCUCACGUUUUCACAACUUAAGCCUUUAAUCUGCCAUAUAGAUUCUUGGCUCACUCUCCUCUGAGUUUUGCUCUUACUCCCUCAGCAAAGUCUUUUAUUCUCAUGACUAUUCCUUUGCACAUUUCUAGCAGGGUCUUUUUCCUAAUAUAUACUCUCCUUUGUCCAGUACACAUAUCUGCUUAAAUAUCACACUACCACUUUGAUUUCAGUAAGUCAAAAGUUGAACUUAAUUUUUUCUCCCCUAUUCAUUUUUCCCCAGCACUCCAGUAUUUUUCCUACAACCCACAAUGAAAACUUAUGGUCUAUUUACAGUCCUCUCUUCCCUACACUUAGUCAUAAAAUGGUUCUAAGUUCCUUAUCUUUUUCAUUCUCUCUCCCAACUCUUUGAUUAUGGUUUGGAUAAGGCUCUUGUCAACCCAUGCCUACGUCAGUGCACUAGGCUCUCAGCUCAUCAACUGUGGCUUUCCUUUACUUCCCAAUAAACUUUUAGCUGCCACAGGUACCACUUCAUGCGUCAUUUCCCAUGCAGAUACAUUUAACUAACUCCUCACUUAUCAGAAACCGGUUUAUGUCAUUAGACUGAUAGGUUAGCAUUUACAUUUCUUCAUUCCAGUGUUUUAUAUUUCUUCAUUUGUUUAUUAAUACAUGUUGGAGCUGGCUAACUUUUGAACAUCCACCAAAUUCAAUGUCUAGCUUAUGAAGCCUCUAAUGCUGGUUCCUCCAUUGUCACUACGACAUAUCGGGCUUUCGUGCCUCUGUGUAUGUGUGUAUAUUUUAUGCCUAAAACUCUUUCUUAAAUUUUACAUAUUUAAGACACACACUUUUGCCCAAGGUCUCAAAAUCCCUGGCAUAAAUCCUUAUAGAACCUGUUCUAACUUCUGCUGUACGCAGAGAUGGCUGCAUUGUGUUAUCGUUUCAGUACAAAAUCUGUUUUCACAACUUCAUUGCAGUUACUUUAGUGGUGCAUUGUGAUUUUUUUCCUCUUGGUUUCCUUAACAGAUAGCACAAUUUUUUGCAUAUGACAGGUACUCAAUACGUGUUUCCUGUUGAUUUCUACACCUGCACUGUCCAGUAGGGUAGACGCUAAACUCACGUUGCUAUUAAGCACUUGAAAUGUAGCCAGUGUAAAUUGAGAUACAGGUGUAAAAUAUAUGCUUGAUUUCAAAGACUUUGUAUGAAAAAACAUGAUAUUUCUCAAUAAUUUUAUAUAGAUUACAAGUCAAACUAUAAUAUUUUGAAUGAUGUGUUAAAUAAGAUAUAAACUUCACCUGUUUCUUUUUACAUUUUUAAUAUGGAAACUAGAGAAUUUUAAAUGGCAUGUGUGAGUCACAUAAUAAUUCUAUUGGACAGUGCUGCUCUAGACAAUAGUGUACAUGAGUAUAUUACAUACUACAAGUGAUGUGAUCAGAUAAAAUAUUAACAUUGCUUGAUAGUACAUUAUUUUUAAAGUUGUUCCUUAUGUGUAUACGUUUAACAAUAGUUAAUUAUAGGUUUCCCUCUUCCGACUAACUUGUAAGGCAACAAGAGAAGACCCAAGUUAUUUGAAUAUUUAACUCAGGAAAUUUGUUCAUGGAAUGUUGUGGCUCAGUGGGCCAAGGAUCCAGCAUUGUCUCUGUGAGGAUGCAGGUUUGAUCCCUGGCCUGGCUCAGUGGGUUAAGGAUUUGGCGUUGCCACAAGCUGUGGAAUAGGUUGCAGAUGCUGCUUGGAUCUGGUGUGGCUGUGGCUGUGGCGUAGGCUGCAGUUGCAGCUCGGAUUCAACCCCUCUCCUGGGAACUUUCCAUAUGCCAUAGAUGUGGCUGUAAAAAAAGAAAAGAAAAAAGAAACUUUUUCAUUCAUAGAAACCUGAGAAUCUUUACCCAUCUUUAUAUUUCUUUUAAUUUUCUGUCUUGGUGGAAAUUUUCCUUACAAAGAAUAUGUAGUAUUCAGGUGUAUUCAUGUUUUUUACGGUUGCAUCUUUAUGACUCUAUAAUUUCCAAGAACAUUUUUAGGUUGUGUACUUCCUGCAUGUUGAUUGCAUGUAUUAAGUGCUUAUUUUUCUAAUCUUUCAAAUCUCUGGGGUGCUUGAGUUUGUGUCCCAGCUUUUGCUGUUUUUAACCUAAAUGUUAAUGCUUUGAGUAAACAUUAUGGAAUCUCUAAAUGGCUCAAUAAAAAAUCGGUCUCCUUUCAUAAGGAGUGCAGAGCAUUAGAUCUAGAGCCAGAAAGCCUGUACUGCCUGCUGUCACAAAGCUACCUACAUGCUGUACGGCUGGUUCUUCAUCUGAGAAGUGAUGAUAACAAUAAUAAAUUCCAGAAUGUUGCUAUGAGGAUUCAAUGAGAUUAAACACUUAGAAUAUAAAUGGUGCAUAGCGAGCUCUCAAAAAGUAUUGGGCAUCACUAUUGGUGUCUUAGUGCUUUAAACAUUUUAGCUUCUUCUCUGCCAGUAGAGCUAAAGUUAAAAUUCCAGAUAAAACUUGCAAAUAAACAAUAGAAAAUUACUAAGUUUCAUGGUAAAAUAAGAUGUGUGAUGCUCAGCUUUAUUGGUCAUAUCCAUUUUAGUAGCUAGAAUUAGAAAGGCCAUUAUUACAAAGGUUGUUAGAGCUAUGGAAGAGCUAGAAUUUUCAUAUACAUUUGAUGGGAUUGUGAAAUGCUAUAGUAACUUUGGAAAAGCUUGACAGUUUCUUGUAAAGUUGAACACAUGCUUAAUUCAUGACCAGUAGUUUCACUGCUACAUUUUUAAGAUUAAUGGAAACAUAUGUCCAUACAGAGAUGAUGAGACCUGCUCAUCAACUCAGGUCCCAAAGUCAGCAGUGCCACAGAUUUAAGAAAGAAGGGACAAAGAAAUAGAAUGGGGAUCAGGGGGCUACCACCUUCGAGAGGCAAUAGCAACCCUCUGAGCCAAGUCAUGAUUUUUUUUUUGUUGCUAUUUUCUACUUCCUUGUACGUACAGAAUCACAUAUGUCAUUUACAAUGUUACUGAUCAAGGCAACAGAUAUGCAAGGCACAGACCCUUUGUAUUCAUUGAUGCUAUAAAUGAUUAGCCCUCCAGAGAAAGAUAAUAUUGUUUAUGAUUAAGGCUAUUACGCCCUUUUCUCCAACUCCCUUAGGAUUCUGGUCAUGAGAACAAGAAAGUCAAUGGCUUUCCAUCUACAUCUGGAGUAUUUGGCCAGUGCUCUCAAGCAGCCACUCCUACGAUGUACAUUUCCCGUCUCACUCCCUUUCCCCCAAGGGUCUGGGAAAGUCUUAUAUAUUUUGCAAGCCUAGAUUAGCGUCAUUCUUCAAGUGCCAUCUAGUUUCUUUGAUUCACUAUGGCCUGUAUACAUGCAUAUCUGGCAAGCCUCCAACACAGAGACAUAUAGAAAUGUUCAUGGAAGCUUUGCUUUUAUUGACCCCAACUGGUAACAAGCCAAUUGUUAACAAUUUUGGUAUAUUAGUACAGUAGAAUACUACUUAGCACUAAAAAUGGAGUAAACUCCCGGUAGUCUCAACAACAUAGGUAAAUCCCCAAAAUGCCAUGUGGAGUGGAAGAAGCCAAGCACAAAUGAGUCCCAUACUAUAAUUGCAGAAAACACAAAUCUUAUCUACAGUAGGUCUGUGGUUAUUGGAGGUAAAGCAUCAAUUCAGGAAGCAUCAGAAUGUCAUGCAGGAAGCAGAUGCCAAGAUGGUGUUAGAAUUACAAGAGCUCUAUUGGAGCAGUACAUGCGAAGGGUAAAAAGAAUGGAAACAAAAAGAGGCUGGGAAAGCCUUGAGACCACCAUGCAGGUGUGUGGUCUAUAUAAGAGAAGACAGAAGGAAAAACUGGGCAGAAAAGCCUCGGGCUGCAGUGCAGCUCUGAGGAUAUCAUAGCUUCCAAUAGGGAGCUAAGUACAAAGACUGCUUGUUGAGGAGUCGUAUACUGAGUAGAAAUGUCCAGGUCCUAGUUUCAUUGCUGUUUUCAGUCACUGCCUGGAGUCUGGCCUUAGUUCCUAUGCCACAGGAGUUCGCAGGCCACUGCAGCCAGAAACUGCCAGCAUUCCUUGUCCCAAAUAAACUUUUGAAUAGCGACCUGAGAGGUGUUCCUUUACGACUCCCACACUUGGCCACAGUGGAGGUAGGGGGAGGAAAUUAACUAGAAAAAGACACAAAUGAAAUUUUCAGGAGGUGAUAAAAAUAUGUGAUUACUUGAUUGUGGUGGUGGUUCUGUGGGAUUAUUAAUACACUGAAACUCUAGAAAUGUACAUUCAAAAUGUGUGUCUAUUAUUAUUAUUUAUCAAAAUAUAGUUGAUUUAUAGUGCUGUGCCAAUUUCUGCUGUACAGCAUAGUGAUCCAGUCAUAUAUAUACAUAUAUAUACUCUUUUUCUUUUUUUAAUUUUUCAAUGAUUUUUAGAUUUUUCUUUUUUUUUCUUUUUCUUAUACUAUCUUCCAUCAUGUUCUAUCCCAAGAGAUUAGAUAUAGUUCCCUGUGCUAUACAGUAGGACCUCAUUGCUUAUCCAUUCUACAUGUAAUACUUUGUACCUGCCAACCCCAAACUCCUUGUCCAUCCCACUCCCUCCCCCCUCCCCCCUGGCAACCACAAGUCUGUUUCCUAUGUCUGUGGUCUGUUUCUGUUUUAUAGAUAGGUUCGUUUGUGCCAUAUUUUAGAUUCCGUAUAUAAGUGAUAUCGUAUAGCAGUUUUUCUUUUUAUUCAUGAGUUACUUCAUUUAGUAUGAGAAUCUCUAUUUGCACCUUGUUGAAGCAAAUGGCAUUAUUUCAUUCUUUUUUAUGGCUGAGUAGUAUUCCAUUCUAUAUGUGUACCAUAUCUUCUUAAUCCACUCAUCUGUCAGUGGGCAUUUAGGUUGUUUCCAUGUCUUGGCUAUUGUGAAUAGUGCUGAAAUGAACAUAGAGGUGCAUGUAUUUUUUUGAAUAAAAGUUUUUUUCUUUUUAUAUGCCUAGGAGAGUGGGGUUGCUGGAUCAUAUGGUAAGUCAAUAUUUAGUUUUCUGAGGUAUCUCCAUACUGUUUUCUGUAGUGGUUGUAAUAACUUAUGUUCUCACCAACAGUGUAGGAGGGAUCCCUUUUUUCCAGGCCUUCCCAGCCUUUAUUGUUUGUAGACUUGCUAAUGAUGACCAUUCUAUCUGUUGUGAGGCCAGAUACUAUAAAACUCCUAGAGAAAAAGAUAAGCAGAAUGCUCUUUGACAUAAAUCACAGCAAAAUCUUGUUUGAUCCACCUCCUAGAAUAAUGACAUUAAAAACAAAAAUAAACCAACAGGACCUAAUUAAACUCAAAACCUUUUGUACAGCAAAGAAAACUAUUAGAAAAAAAGAAAAGACAACCCACAGAAUGAGAGAAAAUCUUUGCAAGCGAUGCAACUGACAAAAGCCUAAUCUCCAAAAUAUGCAAACAACUCCUGCAACUUAGCAAUUAAAAAAAAAA
rnacentral:lncRNA from 1 species